rnacentral:rRNA from 1 species
GGCACAGCCUGAGCAUCUUUCUGGAGAGCGUAACUGCACUUGACUGUGUGGUGCGGUAUCGAGAACUUUUACUUUGAGGAAAUCAAAGUGUUUGAAGCAGGUGUUUGCCUUGAAUACAUUAGCAUGGAAUAAUGACAUAGGAUCUUGGCUCUAUUUUGUUGGUUUCUAGAACUGCGGUAAUGAUUAAUAGGGAUAGUUGGGGGCAUUUGUAUUUAAUUGUCAGAGGUGAAAUUCUUGGAUUUGUUAAAGACGGACCAUUGCGAAAGCAUUUGCCAAGGAUGUUUUCAUUGAUCAAGAACGAAAGUUAGGGGAUCGAAGACGAUUAGAUACCGUCCUAGUCUUAACCAUAAACUAUGCCAACUAGAGAUUGAAGGCCGUUAUCUGCAUGACUCUUUCAGCACCUUACGAGAAAUCGAAGUUUUUGGGUUCCGGGGGGAGUAUGGUCGCAAGGCUGAAACUUAAAGGAAUUGACGGAAGGGCACCACCAGGAGUGGAGCCUGCGGCUUAAUUUGACUCAACACGGGGAAACUUACCAGGUCCAGACAUAAUUAGGAUUGACAGAUUGAUA